GACGUAGGGCGCGAGCGUUGUCCGGAUUUAUUGGGCGUAAAGAGCUCGUAGGCGGCUUGUCGCGUCGAAUGUGAAAACCCGAGACUCAACUUCGGGCUUGCAUUCGAUACGGGCAGGCUCGAGUUCGGUAGGGGAGACUGGAAUUCCUGGUGUAGCGGUGAAAUGCGCAGAUAUCAGGAGGAACACCGAUGGCGAAGGCAGGUCUCUGGGCCGAUACUGACGCUGAGGAGCGAAAGCGUGGGGAGCGAACAGG
rnacentral:rRNA from 1 species